rnacentral:rRNA from 1 species
AGUCGAGCGCGAAAGCACUUCGGUGUGAGUAGAGCGGCGGACGGGUGAGUAACGCGUAAGAAUCUACCUAGUAGUGGGGGACAACUCGGGGAAACUCGAGCUAAUACCGCAUACGCCCUACGGGGGAAAGCGGGGGACCUUCGGGCCUCGUGCUAUUAGAUGAGCUUGCGUUGGAUUAGCUUGUUGGUGGGGUAAUGGCCCACCAAGGCGACGAUCCAUAGCUGGUCUGAGAGGAUGAUCAGCCACACCGGGACUGAGACACGGCCCGGACUCCUACGGGAGGCAGCAGUGGGGAAUAUUGCGCAAUGGGCGAAAGCCUGACGCAGCCAUGCCGCGUGUGUGAAGAAGGCCUUAGGGUUGUAAAGCACUUUCAAUUGGGAGGAAAAGCUAACGACUAAUACUCGUUAGCCCUGACGUUACCUUUAGAAGAAGCACCGGCUAACUCCGUGCCAGCAGCCGCGGUAAUACGGAGGGUGCAAGCGUUAAUCGGAAUUACUGGGCGUAAAGCGCGCGUAGGCGGCUUUUUAAGUCGGAUGUGAAAGCCCCGGGCUCAACCUGGGAACUGCACCCGAUACUGGAAGGCUAUAGUGCGAGAGAGGGAGGUAGAAUUCCAUGUGUAGCGGUGAAAUGCGU